rnacentral:rRNA from 1 species
AUAUGUAGGGAGCGAGCGUUGUCCGGAAUUACUGGGUGUAAAGGGAGCGUAGGCGGGAGUGCAAGUCAGAUGUGAAAUACAUGGGCUCAACCCAUGGGCUGCAUUUGAAACUGCAUUUCUUGAGUGAAGUAGAGGUAAGCGGAAUUCCUGGUGUAGCGGUGAAAUGCGUAGAUAUCAGGAGGAACACCGGUGGCGAAGGCGGCUUACUGGGCUUUUACUGACGCUGAGGCUCGAAAGCGUGGGGAGCAAACAGGAUUAGAUACCCUGGUAGUCCACGCUGUAAACGAUGAUUACUAGGUGUGGGGGGACUGACCCCUUCCGUGCCGCAGUUAACACAAUAAGUAAUCCACCUGGGGAGUACGGCCGCAAGGUUGAAACUCAAAUGAAUUGACGGGG